CCCUCCCUCUUUCUUCCUGCCUAACACAUGCAAGUCGAACGAGACCUUCGGGUCUAGUGGCGCCCGGGUGCGUAACGCGUGGGAACCUGCCCUUAGGUUCGGACUAACUCCCCGAAAGGGGUGCUAAUACCGGAUAAUGUCUUCGGACCAAAGAUUUAUCGCCUUUGGAGGGGCCCGCGUUGGAUUAGCUAGUUGGUAGGGUAAAAGCCUACCACGGCGUCGAUUCAUAGCUUGUCUGAGAGGAUGAUCAGCCACACUGGGACUGAGACACGGCCCAGAAUCCUACGGGAUGGAGCAGUGGGUAAUAUUGGACAGUGGGCGAAAGGCUGAACCAGCAAGGCCGCGUGAGUGAUGAAGUCCUUAAGGUUGUAAAGCUCUUUUAACCGGGAUGAUAAUGACAGUACCGAGAGAAUAAGCUCCGGCUAACUCCGUG
rnacentral:rRNA from 1 species